GCUCAACCGUGGGGUGGCAUCAGAAACUGGCGGGCUUGAGUGCAGGAGAGGAGAGUGGAAUUCCCGGUGUAGCGGUGGAAUGCGUAGAGAUCGGGAGGAACACCAGUGGCGAAGGCGACUCUCUGGCCUGUAACUGACGCUGAGGCGCGAAAGCGUGGGGAGCGAACAGGAUUAGAUACCCUGGUAGUCCACGCCGUAAACGAUGAGUGCUAGGUGUUGGGGGUUUCCGCCCUCUGUGCCGAAGGUAACCCAAUAAGCACUCCGCCUGGGGAGUACGGCCGCAAGGCUGAAACUCAAAGGAAUUGACGGGGGCCCGCACAAGCGGUGGAGCAUGUGGUUUAAUUCGAAGCAACGCGAAGAACCUUACCAGGGCUUGACAUCCCGCUGACCGGUGUAGAGAUACACCUUCCCUUCGGGGCAGCGGUGACAGGUGGUGCAUGGUUGUCGUCAGCUCGUGUCGUGAGAUGUUGGGUUCAGUCCCGCAACGAGCGCAACCCUUGUCGUCAGUUGCCAGCACAUGAUGGUGGGCACUCUGGCGAGACAGCCGGUGAAAGCCGGAGGAAGGUGGGGAUGACGUCAAAUCAUCAUGCCCCUUAUGUCCUGGGCUACACACGUGCUACAAUGGCCGGUACAACG
rnacentral:rRNA from 1 species